rnacentral:rRNA from 1 species
AAGGAUCAUUACCGAGUGAGGGCCCUCUGGGUCCAACCUCCCACCCGUGUUUAUUUUACCUUGUUGCUUCGGCGGGCCCGCCUUAACUGGCCGCCGGGGGGCUUACGCCCCCGGGCCCGCGCCCGCCGAAGACACCCUCGAACUCUGUCUGAAGAUUGUAGUCUGAGUGAAAAUAUAAAUUAUUUAAAACUUUCAACAACGGAUCUCUUGGUUCCGGCAUCGAUGAAGAACGCAGCGAAAUGCGAUACGUAAUGUGAAUUGCAAAUUCAGUGAAUCAUCGAGUCUUUGAACGCACAUUGCGCCCCCUGGUAUUCCGGGGGGCAUGCCUGUCCGAGCGUCAUUUCUGCCCUCAAGCACGGCUUGUGUGUUGGGCCCCGUCCUCCGAUCCCGGGGGACGGGCCCGAAAGGCAGCGGCGGCACCGCGUCCGGUCCUCGAGCGUAUGGGGCUUUGUCACCCGCUCUGUAGGCCCGGCCGGCGCUUGCCGAUCAACCCAAAUUUUUAUCCAGGUUGACCUCGGAUCAGGUAGGGAUACCCGCUGAACUUAAGCAUAUCAAUAAGCGGAGGAAAAGAAACCAACAGGGAUUGCCCCAGUAACGGCGAGUGAAGCGGCAAGAGCUCAAAUUUGAAAGCUGGCUCCUUCGGGGUCCGCAUUGUAAUUUGUAGAGGAUGCUUCGGGAGCGGUCCCCAUCUAAGUGCCCUGGAACGGGACGUCAUAGAGGGUGAGAAUCCCGUAUGGGAUGGGGUGUCCGCGCCCGUGUGAAGCUCCUUCGACGAGUCGAGUUGUUUGGGAAUGCAGCUCUAAAUGGGUGGUAAAUUUCAUCUAAAGCUAAAUAUUGGCCGGAGACCGAUAGCGCACAAGUAGAGUGAUCGAAAGAUGAAAAGCACUUUGAAAAGAGAGUUAAAAAGCACGUGAAAUUGUUGAAAGGGAAGCGCUUGCGACCAGACUCGCUCGCGGGGUUCAGCCGGCAUUCGUGCCGGUGUACUUCCCCGCGGGCGGGCCAGCGUCGGUUUGGGCGGUCGGUCAAAGGCCCUCGGAAGGUAACGCCCCUAGGGGCGUCUUAUAGCCGAGGGUGCAAUGCGACCUGCCUAGACCGAGGAACGCGCUUCGGCUCGGACGCUGGCAUAAUGGUCGUAAACGACC